GCCACCGUAGCUCAGCCGGUAGAGCAGCUGAUUUGUAAUCAGCAGGUCGGGAGUUCGAGUCUCCCCGGUGGCU
rnacentral:tRNA from 1 species